CUACAGGAUAUCUGGUACUCCACGUGUAAAACCAACAUACUCUAUCUUGAGAGGAGGAUGACGUCCAAUUUUAACUAUGACAAGCGAGGGGGUCCGAGAAUUACAAGCCAGAGGAGCAAGACUAUUGUUGCAGGUUGCAGCUGAGAUGUACAGCCAAAAGAGAGGGUGGGCGCCAGUGGUGCUGCGAAUAGCUGGAUGAAGGAGUUAUCUGGGAGCUUUUGAUUACUCGGCUGGGUUGUGUGUUUGGUUCUGCUUUUGGCUGUUGUUGCGCAAUCCUGCAAUGCAGCGGUUAGAGCCUAGAAGAAGUGAGCGGUGGUGUGCGGUUUGUUCUACUGGAGCCUUUGAUAGUGCAGGUAUAGUGGUUUUUAGAUUGGGUUUUAUAGUACUGAGUAUAUGUUAUUUUGUUAGAUGGUGCUGUUAUGUAUGAUGGAAUCUGAUCGUUGGUCGAUCCAAGUUACCCUGCUGUAUUGUCAUUGCUGCUUC